GAGACGGAUAUGCCGAGUCCUGCCACCGUCGUCGACUGCAGCGCAAUCCGCUUGGCAGGAGCGGGGGACCCAAUCGUGGGCCGACCAGCCAGGUCGGUCCUUGGGGUGAAGCCAGUCACGACUGGCCGGGCAGACCUCACGCCCGAACCCGACAGCUCACCUCGUAGGCAUCGAGAGGUUCA
rnacentral:sRNA from 2 species